rnacentral:lncRNA from 1 species
GCACAUGUCCAAUAGAGUAUCACACCCUAUGGAGCUGGAGUUAUAGUUGUAAACUUGCAAUGUGAAUGCUGGGAAUUAAACUGUGGCCCCUCCGCCCAAGCCAUUUUAUUUUUAAGCACACCUAACUGGAAGGUGUUGAGCAGUAUUGUGGAGCUUAAAGGGCUUUACUUUGUUCUAGGUGCCACACCUCCAUGGAUGAUCCAAGAGGAGGAGCACAGCUCUGGAAGCCUCCCAAUAGGACCCUCCUAUGAAGAAUUUCUUAAAGAAACUACUUAAAUUCAAAAAUAUUUUCUAUUUGCAGAGGAAAAGCAAAAACUGAAGAAACUCCCUCCAGAUAGAGUUGGGGCCAACUUUGAUCACAGUUCCAACACCAGUGCAGGCUGGCUGCCCUCUUUUGGCAGAGUCUGGAAUAAUGGACGCCGCUGGCAGUCCAGGCAUCAAUUCAAAACUGAAGCUGCAGCAAGAAGCAGGCAGCCACAUAAAGGGAAAAGCUGAAGGUUCCCAGUCUGUUCCGAUCUCAUGGGUUAACAAACCCAUUCCAGCCAGCUAUUAUUCCUAAGACCAAAUCCUCUCCAGCUGCCUGAGGAAACAGAUGCACCCAUUCAUUUGAUUCAAUAAAGUUUUAUUUUCCC